rnacentral:rRNA from 1 species
AUACGGAGGGCGCAAGCGUUGUUCGGAAUCAUUGGGCGUAAAGCGCGUGUAGGCGGCUUGGCAAGUCGGACGUGAAAGCCCGGGGCUCAACCCCGGAACUGCGCUCGAAACUGCCUCGCUAGAGUCCCGGAGAGGAGGGCGGAAUUCCCGGUGUAGAGGUGAAAUUCGUAGAUAUCGGGAGGAACACCAGCGGCGAAGGCGGCCCUCUGGACGGUGACUGACGCUCAGACGCGAAAGCGUGGGGAGCAAACAGGAUUAGAAACCCGAGUAGUCC